GACGAACGCUGGCGGCGUGCUUAACACAUGCAAGUCGAACGGAAAGGCCCUGCUUUUGUGGGGUGCUCGAGUGGCGAACGGGUGAGUAACACGUGAGUAACCUGCCCUUGACUUUGGGAUAACUUCAGGAAACUGGGGCUAAUACCGGAUAGGAGCUCCUGCUGCAUGGUGGGGGUUGGAAAGUUUCGGCGGUUGGGGAUGGACUCGCGGCUUAUCAGCUUGUUGGUGGGGUAGUGGCUUACCAAGGCUGUGACGGGUAGCCGGCCUGGGAGGGGGACCGGGCACAUGGGGACUGAGAUACGGCGCAGACGCCGACGGGAGGCAGCAGUGGGGAAUAUGGCACAAUGGGCGGAAGCCUGAUGCAGCAACGCCGCGUGCGGGAUGACGGCCUUCGGGGUGUAAACAGCUGUCGCCUGUGACGAAGCGUGAGUGACGGUAAUGGGUAAAGAAGCACCGGCUAACUACGUG
rnacentral:rRNA from 1 species